rnacentral:rRNA from 1 species
GAUGAACGCUGGCGGCGUGCUUAACACAUGCAAGUCGAACGAGAAGUGAAGACGGAAACCUUCGGGCGGAAGGCUUUAUUUCGAGUGGCGGACGGGUGAGUAACGCGUGGGUAACCUGCCUCAUACAGGGGGAUAACAGUUGGAAACGACUGUUAAUACCGCAUAAGACCACAGCACCGCAUGGUGCGGGGGUAAAAACUCCGGUGGUAUGAGAUGGACCCGCGUUCGAUUAGCCAGUUGGCGUGGUAACGGCCCACCAAAGCGACGAUCGAUAGCCGAUCUGAGAGGAUGACCGGCCACAUUGGGACUGAGACACGGCCCAAACUCCUACGGGAGGCAGCAGUGGGGAAUAUUGCACAAUGGGGGAAACCCUGAGGCAGCGACGCCGCGUGAGUGAAGAAGUAUUUCGGUAUGUAAAGCUCUAUCAGCAGGGAAGAAAAUGACGGUACCUGAGUAAGAAGCCCCGGCUAACUACGUG